AGCAAAGCCCCUGGCUUGACCUGGCUCCCUUCUGGGAGGGAGGACCACGUCUCAAUUUGACAGCAGGAGGCUGUAGGUCAGUGAGGUGAUGACCUGGCCCUGGGAGACCUGCUCUUUCUCUCAGCAGAACCCCAUAAAUCCUUCAAAAGGAAGGCAUGCUACCCAUCAAGCUAAGAGGCCAGAAGAAGAUCUUUUUAUAAUGUAACUCAAAGGAGGGGAGGAAAGAGCCAGAGACCCUUUUAGCAUAAUGGAGCAGAUGAUUUUUACUGAGGCGUGCACUCUCACCAGGGAAAUGGCUUGAUUGCUGUGUAAAUAGAUGCUUGACCUUCAUCCUGCCAUUCAUCCAUAUGGACCCUAAACGCUCUCCAGCUCUAUCCUAGGGGAUGUGGAAUGGAGAGGUUUUCCAAAGACAUUGGAACACCCCUGUAGCCAUAGUAGCUCUUUUUUAAAGAGGAGAGGAAUCUGUAGAUUCUUUCACAUGAGGGUG
rnacentral:lncRNA from 1 species